AGUGGGUCAAAGUGGCAGCCCGCCGCGCUGCUCAGCCCUGGUGGACACACCCCACUCAGGCGGCCGACCGCCAGAGUGGGUCAAAGUGUCAGCCCACCGUGCUGCUCAGCCCUGGGAUCCCUCAACCCACUCAGGCGGCCCACCGCCAGAGUGGGUCAAAGUGUCAGCACGCAUUGCUGCUCAGCCCCUGGGGCCCUCCCCCACACUCAGGUGCCCAACCGGCAGAGUGGGUCAAAGUGGCAGCCCGCCGCGCUGCUCAUCCCUGGGGGCCCUUUCCCCACCCAUGCGGCCGACCGCCAGAGUGGGUCAAAGUGGGAGUCUGCCGCGCUGCUCAGCCCUGGGGGGCCUCCCCACCCACUCAGGGGGCGGACCGCCAGAGUGGGUCAAAGUGGCAGCCCGCCCUUCUGCACAACCCUGGGCGCCCCACCCCCACUCAGGAGGCCGACCCCCAGAGUGGGUCAAAGUGGCAGUCCGCCGCGCUGCUCAGCCCUGGGGGCCCUUUCCCCAGUCAGGCGGCCGACCGCCAGAGUGGGUCAAAGUGGCAGCCCGCCUUGCUGCUCAGCCCUGGGGUCCGUCACCCCCCUCAGGGCCCGACAGCCAGAGUGGGUCAAAGUGGCAGCCCGCCACGCUGCUCAGCCCUGGGGGCCCCACCCUCACUCAGGCGGCCUACCGCCAGAGUGGGAAAAAGUGGCAGCCCGCCGCGCUGCUCAGCCGUGGGUGCCCCGACCCCACUAAGGCGGCCGACCGCCAGAGUGGGUCAAAGUGGCAGCCCGCCGCGCUGCUCAGCCCUGGGGGCGCCCCACGUAGUCUGGCGACCGACCGCCACAGUGGCUCAUAGUGGCAGCCCACCGCGCUGCUCAGCCCUGGGGGCCCCACCCUCACUCAGGCGGCCUACCGCCAGAGUGGGAAAAAGUGGCAGCCCGCCGCGCUGCUCAGCCGUGGGUGCCCCGACCCCACUAAGGCGGCCGACCGCCAGAGUGGGUCAAAGUGGCAGCCCACCGCGCUGCUCAGCCCUGGGGACCCCGCCCCCCACUCAGGCGGCCGACCGCCAGAGUGGGUCAAUUUGGCAACCCGCCGCGCAGCUCAGCCCUGGGGGCCCCACCUUGACUCAGGCGGCAGACCGCCAUAGUGGGUCAAAGGAGCAGCCCGAUGCGCUGCUCAGCCCUGGGGGCGCCCCACACACUCUGGUGUCCGACCGCCAGAGUGGCCCAAAUUGGCAGCCCGCAGCGCUGCACAGCCCUGGGGGCCCUCCUCCCACUCAUGCGGCCGACCGCCAGUGUGGGUCAAAGUGGCAGCCCGCCGCGCUGCUCAGCCCUGGGGUCCCUCACCCCACUCAGGCGGCCGACCACCAGAGUGGGUCAAAGUGGCAACCCGCAGCGCAGCUCAGCCCUGGGCGCCCCACCUUGUCUCAGGCGGCAGACCGCCAGCGUGGGUCAAAGUGGCAGCCCGCCGCGCUGCUCAGCCCUGGGGUCCCUCACCCCACUCAGGCGGCCGACAGCCAGAGUGGGUCAAAGUGGCAGCCCGCCGCGCUGCUCAGCCCUGGUGGACACACCCCACUCAGGCGGCCGACCGCCAGAGUGGGUCAAAGUGUCAGCCCACCGUGCUGCUCAGCCCUGGGAUCCCUCACUCCACUCAGGCGGCCCACCGUCAGAGUGGGUCAAAGUGUCAGCACGCAUUGCUGCUCAGCCCCUGGGGCCCUCCCCCACACUCAGUGGCCCAACCGGCAGAGUGGGUCAAAGUGGGAGCCCACCGCGCUGCUCAGCCCUGGGGGCCUCACCCCCACUCAGGCGGCCCACCCCCAGAGUGGGAAA
rnacentral:lncRNA from 1 species